UACGGAGGACCCUAGCGUUGUUCGGAUUUACUGGGCGUAAAGGGCGUGUAGGCGGGCUCGUCAGUCGGGUGUGAAAGCCCUCGGCUCAACCGAGGAACUGUGUCCGAAACAGCGAGCCUUGAGUACAGCAGAGGAGAGUGGAACUCCUGGUGGAGCGGUGAAAUGCGUAGAUAUCAGGAGGAACGCCGGAGGCGAAAGCGACUCUCUGGGCUGUUACUGACGCUGAGGCGCGAAAGCCAGGGGAGCAAACGGG
rnacentral:rRNA from 1 species